AAAUAACAUUUUCGGAAAUCAAUAAAUCUGAAAAUUUCGCGUGUUACAUCUAUGUUUGACGUUCUUGGUUUUCGGAUCAAUAUCGCCAAGCGUUAAUCUGUUUAUAACAACGCCAGUGCACGUUUUCUUUAUAUUCAUUGGUUGCAGAUAUUAUUCUACAGUGUUAAAAUAACUCAAAAUCAAAUUUAAUUUGUGAACAAAUUUAAUAGAUUAAAGGUCUACUUUUACUUUCUCGAUCGCAAUAAAAUCUUAAGAAACAACG